GGCUGCCGCCUUCGCCAAUUCCUUCUCCCCUUCCGUCCUCCUCCUCCCGCAUACCCCCGUUAGUAUCCCUAGCAAUGGAUGAGGAGGCUGAGCCACCGCCGCCGCCGGCCAUGGCCUUCCUCUCCUCUUCCUUGGUCGCAUCUUCCUCAUCUAGGCAGUUAGAGCGGAUGGCAUGGCGGGGCGCGCGGCAGUGCGGAGAGGCAGAAGCCACCGUCUCUGCCGGUCGACGAAGGAGAAACGGCCGCAGCCGAGGAGGACGGCCAUGGAGGGAAGGGCGCAGCCUCAAUCCGGAUGAGGGGAGCAGCGGCCGCACCCCUCUUCUUCCCGAGCAGCGGCCGGCGGCCUCGGCUUGGAGCUUCGCCCUCUUAUUCGCGCGCGGUGCAGCGGCGACCUGAGGGCGAGUUCGAGGCACAGUGGUGGUUCCAGCACACGACGCAGGGGGGGUGGUGCGGCGGUGCUUCCUUGCCUCAUCCGUCCGGCGCCAGAUGCACGCCCGACAUUGCCAUGGAGGCUCCGACCCCGACGCACCCUCCUGGUUCCUGGUUGCAUCUCCCCCUAGUGAGCUCCUCCUUUCCUCAGUUCCUCCUAAUUAAUUUUCAUUCUGCAAUAGAGUUUGGGUGCCCGGGUCUCUUUUAACUUAAUCCCCACAAAUCCUCAGAUUGCUAUGUGCAAAUUCUAUUUUAUCCAUGCCUACACAGUGCACAACAGAACUCCUAGCAGGCUUGCAAUCUCAUGCGAAGGGAAGAUGUGUUUCUCUGUGGCUAGCACCUGCUCGAUCAAAUGCCUAGCCAUUUCAAUCGUUUAAUAUAGGAAAUACAACGCGCACUAAAACAGGAGGCCAUUCUGUGCAACCUGUUCUCUUUAGUUCUAGGAAUCCUAUGGUAGAGGGUGGUGUAGUUCUAGAAAUAACUUUCAGCCAUUUGUAGUUUUUCAGGUUGUUGUGUGACAACUUUGCGGUGCGGGGCUGCGUGCAGAUGGCGCUCAAGGCGGCCAACUCCGUCGUGGGGCUCACCGGCAUGGACGUCAUCCUCUACACGCUUUGGGUGCUCCGGGCCUGGUCCAAGCAGCACUCCGUCGUGGGGCUCGCUCAGUUGCUCACUACUGGAUUUGCUGUUUUACCCCCCAAUUUUUUGCUGCCGCUCCUCAUUCCUCUGACCGAAUUUGUGGCGAAAUCUGUCGCUCGGCUAGCCGACGCACCCACCGCCGACCGAAUUCCCACCGUACUGCCUGGGCAGCGUUGUCGCCGUUGUGCGUGGGGAAACUAGCACUGUGCCAAGGUCAAGUGCACCGAGCUCAUCCAUUGUGGUUUAGAUCAGCUUUUGCCUUUCCUUGAAUGCUCUUGUUCAUAUUUAUGCAUGUUUCCUGAUUCCCCUUUUCUCAUCUGUGAUGUGAUGCUCAUACGAAAAGGAAGAGUAAGAAGAAAUCUAUGAAAGAUGAUAAAUUGGCAAUAGAAGAACAUGUAGGUGUAGAAGAUGGUUGAUGCUAGCAAUUGGACUCUUAUCUCAGAGUAAAUUAGCUUCAGAUAUCAGAAUAGUACACUGGUUCAGAAAUCAGAAUAACUACUAUCUGGGUGCAACUUGCUGGCAGGGCAGUUAAAUUAGAUAUCUUAUUUUUCAUUGUAUCUUGCUUCUUACUUUUACAAAUUAGUGUUCAAGACAACCUUCUGUUGUUUCAUUCCAGCAAGUUAGCUUACAGCCGAAGAUAGUUUAUCCAAUCCAAAUGGUGUAGGUCGAACAAAACUUAUGGCUGGGGUAAAAAUAUUUGUGGUGAUCAGCAUCUUCCUCUCGCUUCUCUGUUAAGAUGUCGACGCGGCGCUAUGCACCGGAUGAUUUAUACUACUACCAUGUUUUUUAUGUUGGGUCUGAGAAACUAGAGAAUUCAUGCCUCUUUGCCAUGCCAAGAGUAUUCUAGGGAUUUCUUAUGAAUAUACUGUAUGUAAUAUGUGAUGGCUAUUUUGAUUAAGAGAUCAAUUUUUAAGCAGGUUUAGCUACACUCUUCUCAGCCUGGAAACCAUCAUGUGCUUGCUGACCUGCUCGGGCCACAUCGCCGCUGAAACUGCAAACAACCCCUGACUGUCUUUUGUAUACUUGGAAGCGUCUCAUACUAGGAGUUGCGUUAGCCUAUUUAAGAGUGCUUACAUGGCAGCUGCUGCUGGUUUAACAAAAUUCCUCAAAGCCUUUUGCGUUGUCACAUAAAGACCAAACCUUGUGUGCUUUUUUCCCAGAUAUAUCCAUUUCAAAAAUAUAAAUGAUAUUUCAAAAAGAGGGUCAUAUCUCUAGCAGUUAAGUUUUGAACUGGAACUGUUGACUCCUAAUAAUAGUUUGCUGAAACCUUAAGUCCCAGUUAUGUUCUUGGAGCUAUGUGACCUUAGAUGUACUGUGUCUUGGUGUUAUGGACUAUUUUGCCUUAACCUGCCAUGUAUGUAGCACGUGAUCUUUGUAUUCUUGCUUGUGAUACUGGAAGCUGCCAUCGCUGCCGAUGUAUUUCUGAAUAGCUACUGGGAGGAGGUAAGGAGCACUUCAGCUGCUAUAUACUUGCUAUUUCUGUGUGUAUUUUAGAACCAAAAUAAGGUCUCUUUUGUCGCCAAACUUUUUGCUGGAAUGGAAGUCGUCUUAAGAACAAAAUGAAAUUAUGACUGGUCGAACCUGAGAAAGUUUACUUCUAAAAUAUAUCAAUAUGUCGUCUUAAGAACAAAAUGAAAUUAUGUCUGCUCCAACCUGAGAAAGUUUCUUUCUAAAAUAUGUCCAUAUGUAGUUUGCAUAGUAUGGCCUUUUCUUUUCACGUAGUAUGAGAAAUACAUGCAGUGCUCUACUUAAGAUAUUCUCUUCAAAAUGACAUCUCUAAAAUUACUUGAUCGCAGAUCAUUAUUGAGACAUGUUUGUUGCAUAUUUUUCCUUUUUAUUUUUCACCCUUGCAUCGAGUGGUUUAUUUAUCAGGUCUGUUUUAUGUUAUUUUCUCUGUUCCAAUAUAAAUAUUCAUUUUAAAGGUUUGCUUCCUGGUGUUCUAAUUUGGGAUUUCUUGCCCUACUUUUGGCAGUACCUCCAUCAAAAUUAGGAAGACGUUUUACUAAUGUUGUGUUUUUUGGGCCAUGCUUGUGGAUAUACUCACUCCGUGCCUUUUAGAGAUUCCAUGCAAUUUAAUUUCAGUGAUGUCUCAUCCUUCUCAUUUGCUGUCCAGUUUUUUCUUAGAGCAAUGGUCUUAUGAUUCUGUUUGUAUCUAAUGCCAUUUUCUAUGUUUUUCUUUCUUAUUUUCAGGACAAAUCCCACCAGACUUGGCUCUAAUUGAAGUUAUCAUAAGAGGUGAGCCAGAUGGCAUGGCGUUCAAACAAAGCCAUAUUUUUUAUUUAGUCUACUAUAUAAUGUACUGCUAUCACUAUAUGGCAUAGAAGAACCAUAAAAAUCUGUUAUCCUGGACUGCCAGUGGCUUGCUUUUGGUGUAUCAGUGUAUUUUUGAACUGGAUGAAGAAAACCUAUCACCAUAUGUAAUCGACUUGGUACUAAGGUACCAUUUUCUAUGAGAUGCAUGUAUUCUGCUUG